GCCUCGGAUAAUCCUGAUCUCUUGGGGAUUUGCUGCCUGGAAGUAGGAAGCAGGUCUCUGAACACUCAGAUCCUGGUGAUGCAAAUUUUCCAGGACCCUGACAGCCUUGGAAUCACAGAUGGGCUUUGCUGUGUUACUGGGUAGGCCUGUGUGACAUGGCCCUCAGCAACCACACAAGGUCAAACACUGCAUGAUCAACUCUGGACCCUGUUCUCAUCAGAGAGGAAGGCAGACUAUGGACAGUCACUGCCCUAUCACCCAGGCUUAGGCUUUGCUGUGUUACUGGGCAGGCCUGUGUGACAUGGGCCUCAGCAACCACACAAGGUCAAACACUGCAGGAUCAACUCUGGACCCUGCUGUCAUCAGAGAGGAAGGCAGACUAUGGGCAGUCACUGCCCUAUCACCCAGG